rnacentral:rRNA from 1 species
AUUGAACGCUGGCGGCAUGCUUUACACAUGCAAGUCGAACGGCAGCGCGGGCUUCGGCCUGGCGGCGAGUGGCGAACGGGUGAGUAAUGCAUCGGAACGUGCCCAGUAGUGGGGGAUAGCCCGGCGAAAGCCGGAUUAAUACCCCAUACGACCUGUGGGUGAAAUGGGGGGACCGAAAGGCCUCGCGCUAUUGGAGCGGCCGAUGUCGGUUUCGCUAGUUGGGGGGGUAAAGGCUUACCAAGGCGACCAUCCGUAGCUGGUCUGAGAGGACGACGGGCCGCACGGGGGGUGGGACGCGGCCCAGGCGCCUGCGGGAGGCAGCAGUGGGGAAUUUUGGACAAUGGGGGGAACCCUGAUCCAGCGAUGCGGCGUGCGGGAAGAAGGCGUUCGGGUGGUAAACCGCUUUUGUGGGGGAAGAAAUCCUCUGGGCUAAUACCCCGGGGGGAUGACGGUACCGGAAGAAGAAGCACCGGCUAACUACGUG